UGGCAGGGGUCAGUGUUGUGUGUAGCGAGCCAGUGCUGCUGUGGGUGGGUGUAGAUGCCUCCACGAGGCCUGAGGUUAUGGUGUCGUCAGGUAAGAGUGUGGUUUCAGUGUCGCCUGGGCUGCUGUGGAAGGUUGUAGAUUGUUGACCAAGGGAUGAGGCUGUGGUACUGCCAGGGGACAGUGUUGCCUCUGUUGAGCCUUGGCUGCUGUGGGAAGUUGUAGGUUCCUGACUGAGGCCUGAGGUGGUGGUGCUGUCAGGGAACGCUGUUGUGUGCGUUGAGCCUGGUUGACUGUGGGAUGUGCUGGAUUCUUCGCUGACGCCUGAGCUUGUUGUGGUUGCAGGUGAGAGUGUUGCAUCUGGUGAUCUGGGGCUAGUGUAGAAGGUGGUUGAUUUCUCACUGAGGCUUGGUGUUGUGGGACUGCCGGGUAAAGUUGUUGUUUCGGUUGAGCUUGGACUGAGGCGUGAGGGUGUGGAUUCUCCAACGAGGCCAGAGGUGGUGGAGCGGGCAGGUGAGAGUUUUGUUCCAGUUGAGCCUGAGCUGCUGGGAAAGGUAGUUGAUUCCUCACCGAGGUCUGCGGUUGUGAGUGUGGCAGGUAACCCUGUUUGGGUGGAGGCUGGGCUGCCGGGGAAGGCUGUAGAUUCUUCAGUGAGGCCCGAGGUGGUGCUGUCCUCAGUGAACAGUGUUGUGUGAGUUGAGGCUGGCCGGCUGUGGAAGGUUGUAGGCUCUUCACGACGAACUGAGGUUGUGGUGCUGCGAGGGAACACUGUGGUUUCAGUUGAGCCUGGGCUGCUGCUGUAGACGGUGGUAGAUUCCUCACUGAGGCCUGGCGUGGUGGUGCUGGCAGGUGACACUGUUGAGUGAGUAGAACCUGGUUGGCUACGGGAGGUGGUGGAUUCUUCACCGACGCCUAGGCUUGUCAUACUGGCAGGUGAGAGUGUUGUGGUUGGUGAUCUGGGGCUGCUGUAGAAGGUGGUAGAUGCCUCACUGAGGCCUGGUGUUGUGGUACUGCCAGGUAACGUUGUUAUUUCAGUUGAGCCUGGACUGAUGCGUGAGGUUGUAGAUUCUCCACGACCUGAGGUUGUGGAGUGGGCAGAUGAGGGUGUUGUUCCACUUGCAUCUGGGCUGCUGUGGAAUAUUGUUGAUUUCUCACUGUGGCCCGAAGUUGUGGAGCUGGCAGGGAAGUGUGUUGUUGGAGUCGAGCCUGGGCUGCGGUGGUAGGUUGUAGAUUCUUCAACAGGGGCUGUUGCGGUGCUAGGAGGUGAAGGCGUCGUGUGAGUUGAGGCUGGGUGGGUCUGGAAGGCGGUAGAUUCUCCCUGAAGUCCAGGGCUUGUGGAGCUGGCAGGGGACAGUGUUGUGCGUGGUGAGCCAGUGCUGCUGUGGACGCGUGUAGAUGCUUCAACGAUGCCUGAGCUUGUGGUGCUGUCAGGGAAGAGUGUUGUGUGAGUGGAGCCUGGGCUGCUGUGGAAGGUUGUAGAUUCGACCAAGGGAUGAGGCUGUGGUACUGCCAGGGGACAGUGUUGCCUCUGUUGAGCCUUGGCUGCUGUGGGAAGCUGUAGGUUCCUGACUGAGGCCUGAGGUGGUGGUGCUGUCAGGGAACGCUGUUGUGUGCGUUGAGCCUGGUUGACUGUGGGAUGUGCUGGAUUCUUCACUGACGCCUGAGCUUGUUGUGGUUGCAGGUGAGAGUGUUGCAUCUGGUGAUCUGGGGCUAGUGUAGAAGGUGGUUGAUUUCUCACUGAGGCUUGGUGUUGUGGGACUGCCGGGUAAAGUUGUUGUUUCGGUUGAGCUUGGACUGAGGCGUGAGGGUGUGGAUUCUCCAACGAGGCCAGAGGUGGUGGAGCGGGCAGGUGAGAGUGUUGUUCCAGUUGAGCCUGAGCUGCUGGGAAAGGUAGUUGAUUCCUCACCGAGGUCUGCGGUUGUGAGUGUGGCAGGUAACCCUGUUUGGGUGGAGGCUGGGCUGCCGGGGAAGGCUGUAGAUUCUUCAGUGAGGCCCGAGGUGGUGCUGUCCUCAGUGAACAGUGUUGUGUGAGUUGAGGCUGGCCGGCUGUGGAAGGUUGUAGGCUCUUCACCACGAACUGAGGUUGUGGUGCUGCGAGGGAACACUGUGGUUUCAGUUGAGCCUGGGCUGCUGCUGUAGACGGUGGUAGAUUCCUCACUGAGGCCUGGCGUGGUGGUGCUGGCAGGUGACACUGUUGAGUGAGUAGAACCUGGUUGGCUACGGGAGGUGGUGGAUUCUUCACCGACGCCUAGGCUUGUCAUACUGGCAGGUGAGAGUGUUGUGGUUGGUGAUCUGGGGCUGCUGUAGAAGGUGGUAGAUGCCUCACUGAGGCCUGGUGUUGUGGUACUGCCAGGUAACGUUGUUAUUUCAGUUGAGCCUGGACUGAUGCGUGAGGUUGUAGAUUCUCCACGACCUGAGGUUGUGGAGUGGGCAGAUGAGGGUGUUGUUCCACUUGCAUCUGGGCUGCUGUGGAAUAUUGUUGAUUUCUCACUGUGGCCCGAAGUUGUGGAGCUGGCAGGGAAGUGUGUUGUUGGAGUCGAGCCUGGGCUGCGGUGGUAGGUUGUAGAUUC
rnacentral:lncRNA from 1 species